UACAGAGGUCUCAAGCGUUUGUUCGGAUUCAUUGGGCGUAAAGGGUGCGUAGGUGGCGCUGUAAGUCGGGUGUGAAAUCUCGGAGCUUAACUCCGAAACUGCAUUCGAUACUGCCGUGCUUGAGGACUGGAGAGGAGACUGGAAUUUACGGUGUAGCGGUGAAAUGCGUAGAUAUCGUAAGGAAGACCAGUGGCGAAGGCGGGUCUCUGGACAGUUCCUGACGCUGAGGCACGAAGGCCAGGGGAGCAAACGGG
rnacentral:rRNA from 1 species